GAAGCCAACCUCCUGGUUACAGCACAACAGCCUGGGAAACAGAAUAUGAAUAAACCUGGUUGGGAGAUAACAGAGGGUGUGUGAGGUCAAGUAGUCUUGUGUUCGCGUGGCAACCUCAUAGGUUUACGUUCGUUUAUAUCGAAUUUCAUUGAGUGAUUUGUUAUCAGUGAUGCCUUCCUUAUCAGGGGGAAACAGGACAGGACAGCCGUCAAGGUUGGAUUAAGAGAUUAAGAGACAUUUCACACUGUGACAAGACCACUUCCUGGUCUCCCAGUUAACCGCAGCAUCCCACAAUGCAGUGCGGGAGGUCAGGGAACAACCCUGACCAGAGUUGGGGUUACCCUGGCCGAACCCCAAACUGCCUGACCCCUGCGUUCCUGAGUUUCCGUCCCAAAUCUCUGUUUAGAGUUGAUCGUGACCUUUGACCCUGUUGAAAGUCGUUUCCAAAUUGCGGUUUGGGUGUGUCAGCAAUGAAUAA